GGAGAGAUGGCCGAGUCUGGCUGAAGGCGGUCGCCUGCUAAGCGACUAAGCGAGUGUAAAGCUUGCUUCGGGGGUUCGAAUCCCCCUCUCUCCG
rnacentral:tRNA from 1 species